ensembl:snoRNA
GGCAACCUUGUCAAAUUCAGUGCUUCCUUCUCCCUGGAUGCCACUGGCCAAAAUGGUUGCUACAGUAACUGUGUGGUCGAUGGGCCCCGUGGUCUUUCAGCGUGGCCACUGGGGAUAAUUAUGUGCUGCACACAAAA